GAUGAACGCUGGCGGUAUGCCUAACACAUGCAAGUCGUACGAGAGUUUUUAACUCUAGUGGCGGACGGGUGAGUAACACGUGAGAAUUUGCCUUUAGGAGGGGGAUAACAAUUGGAAACGAAUGCUAAUACCCCAUAUGCUUUUGAGUGAAAUGGAUUUUAUCCGCCUAGAGAGAAGCUCGCGGCUGAUUAGCUUGUUGGUAAGGUAAGAGCUUACCAAGGCGACGAUCAGUAUCUGGUUUGAGAGGACGAUCAGACACACUGGAACUGAGACACGGUCCAGACUCCUACGGGAGGCAGCAGUGGGGAAUUUUCCGCAAUGGGCGAAAGCCUGACGGAGCAAUACCGCGUGAGGGAAGAAUGCCUAUGGGUUGUAAACCUCUUUUUUCAGGGAGGAAUAAAAUGACGUGUACCUGAAGAAUAAGCAUCGGCUAACUCCGUG
rnacentral:rRNA from 1 species